UCCGUCGUGUACAUCCAGACAAGACGCUAUGGUGUACAAUUUAAUGCAUGAAGUAAGCCCAUCACUUCGGUUUCAUUUUCUGAAUUUCUUUUGAACUUGUUGUCACUUAACUUUUACAUGUAUCUAGUUACAGUAGUACUAACCAGAUCAAGCUACUUCAUUUUUUUUAUCAAAUUCUAGAACUUUUACAUAUCCGUACUGCUGCUGCUCCAUACUCGUAUUUGUUAUUUCUUCUUAUGUGUGCACUAAACUUCUAAUACUAUUCACGAUCCAGCUUCUAGUUUUUUGCUCUAUUAUGUGUUUCACUUCUACAAAAAAAGGCUGGGUUAUAUAAAUAGGACAAAGAUGUUUGCGUGCUUUCCAGAAAUAAAAUGGUUGGCAUGUAUUGACGAUGUAAAUAAAACUCUUCUCUUGUGUUGUUUGAAAAUAAAAUCACACAAGUACGUGGUGGAAGUUUGUAUCAGUUCGGAGGCCGUUCAACAAUACAUCACCCAGGUCGUCCACCUCUGCCACCCCAAGCCGUCACCUUUGCCACCCCCGUACACUCCCUCCCACCCCAUCUACAUUCAGUAGUUCUCUGCUUUUCUACCGAUGCAUGUUCAUGAGCAAUUCAAAACGUGUAGUUGUUCCCUGCUUUUCUAUAACACUUGUUAGAUUGCUCUCCAGAAACUGUAUGUGUUCGUGAAUUUGCUACUGGUGUAGCAACCCAAUAUGUAUUUUAUGAUCAGUUCAUAAAGAAAAGCUGAAACAGUGCAGUGUGUGUGUUAAAAAAUAUCAGUUUUAAAUUGUAUGGUAGUCCAUUUUAGUAUUGUUCUAGUCUCAUAUAUACUUCAGUUCUAAAUACUUUGCUCAUUGUGAUCAGAGAUAAUACAAAGUAUGAUGCAGUUUUGAAGCAAUCCCGAUGUCUCUUCGGAAAGCAUUCAUGGUUAAAAAGCAGCGGCAGCCUCUGUUCAAGUUGAGCACUCUAUUUUUUUCUCUGUUUUGCCCGAUUGAUAUCAGCCACUGCAAGUCCUUUUCUCCAGCCAUGAAUUCUAUGUUUCCACAUUUAGAUAUACUAGUUGAUCUGCUGAAAGAUACGAUAUGUGUACUGCUGAUAAUCUCAAACAUGUUUUACUUGAUUUUAGAAAACAUGUAAUUUUGUUGUGCUGCUUUUUAAUGUCUCCAGCAGUCCUACUUCUCCAUGACGACAAGGACGACGUCGCCAUGCGUGCUCGGCCGUGGUGUGCACGCUCUCCUUUCUUUCUCCUUCCGAGACAGUGAGGUGCUCCAGCAAGCGGCCGCUGGUGGGAUCCGCAGGUUAGCCCCCAUCUUCCACCUCCCCUACUCUCCUCUUCAACAGGAGCAACACCGUUAGGAGCUCGAAGUAAAACGAGGACGGCUGCAGCGACCGUGCAGUUCGCCCGCUCCUGUCCGACAAGUUCCCACCGUGCAUUUUUGUGUGUGUAGAAUUUCGUCUAAUCUAGUUCUCGAAUUUGGUCUACUUGUGUAAAUCUGUCAGUUCAAGACAAUUACCUUCUGAUGCUUGAAAUUAAGUCCUUUGUGAAUAUUGCUUGUUUCAGAAAGAAAUAGACUAUGUAAUUGCAUCACAUGGUGUACUGAUCAACAUAAACAUGGUGUACUGAACAAAACAUACACAUUCUAUCUAUUUAGCUGUGAGGAACAUUUAAAAAACGUUUGAUAUGCACAACAACAAUUGAGUCUUUGAUCCAGGAAUACACACACCCAAUGCCACUGCAAAUAGAUAGAUGGCCACCUCCUACCUGAUGUGUGUAAUUCAAAGUUCCAAACCCAAUGUAAAUUACUCCUGCUGCUUAACACAAAAAAUUUCACUUAUUUGGACGGAGGAAUAUACUACUUAUUGUCAUGAUCUAUUGAAGCCAAGAUCCGCUGUAGCAUUCGAAUCCCUUCAAUUCACUUAUAACUCUCUCGAUAAGUUCAGUGUGUGUGUAAUGGAAAAAACAAUAAUAUAAUAGUUCAGUUCAAUUCAACCAGUUGAUAUUGGAUUAUAUUGGUUGAUUGCAAAAUACUUUGUUGUUUGCCCAUCGCCAUGGCCUGCACCCUGACCAUCGCCACGGCCCCUCCUUUUCACGCCGUCGCAUCGUGCACUCACCACGCCGUGUGUGGCAUCCUCCCGGCGAAGCGCCCGUGCUGGCAACACGCACUGUGCCGCGGGACAAUUUUCCGGCGGCACCCUCCGCCGCCUCAGCCCAGGCCGUCCACCUCUGCCACCCCGGGCCGUUCACCACUGCGAAGAGAGCCCAUUCAACUACGUGAUAGAGAAUUUAUGUACCAGACUUAAUAUUAGUUCGGUGUGUAAUCUAUCGUCAGUCCAUGAAAAAUCACAGAAUAGUUGGUGUGUGUGCAGAAAUAUCGUCAGUGCAAGUUUUAAAAUUCUGUAAGUUUAGAUAUACCACCUAAAUAAGUAAUGAUUUGCAGCGAGUUUCUUCAAAAUUCUGUAAAGUUCAGAUAUAUCACCUAAAGUAUCGUCAGUGCAAGUUUCAAAAUUCUGUAAGUUUAGAUAUAUCAUAAAGAAAAAAUGAUGAGUCACCAUCUGCUUUAUAUUCAUGUUCUCUGCAACACAAGUAGCAGUGGGACUGACUGGGAGUGAUCCCUGAACCAUUUCAUUGAACGCCAUGGUUUCCAACAAUGCUAAUGCUACUAGAAAGUGUUAGAGGCCAUGAAGCCUCUUGGCUUCUCCAAUAAGCAGGUUUGGCCAGUCCUGAAGCGCCUCCUCAAGUUUCUGAGUACACGAUGCAUCGAUGCACGCAUCACAGGUGGCCAAACACGACGUGUUUUGUCCUGCACCCAGAAGCUUUGGAGGCGAUGUGUUGCCCUUUGUUCUUUAUUGACAAAUCUAGCAGUGAUGGUUCAUAUAGAACUUGAAAUUACCUAUCCGCCACGGGGAUGUACUGCCCUCAGUCCUCUCUCAACAAAUCGAGCAGUGCAGGUUCUCUGGUGCGCCAAGUAUUACCGGCGGCGAUGCCUGCUUAUAUAUUUCUGCUUUCAUGUAUUAAACCUUAUAAUCUGGUACUAUUUCAUGAUAAUAUGUGAACUGAAAGAAAGGUUCAACUAUUUGUUAUUUUAGUUGAGUUUAAUUUCUUAUUCUAGUUUAGUUUCAAAUUCGUAUCCCUUCAGUUCAGUUUCUAAAUUUGGUUUAGUUCAAUUCAGUUCAAUAUAUUUGUGCCAAUUCCUUCUUGUGAUGCUUAUAUGUAGCUGGAAAUGCAGAUGCUGCUGUUUUAGAAUUUAUCAUUCGGUAUGGAAUUAGGUGUGGUGUACCAUCAGUCACUGCUGUUGAUUUAGCCAGUUUGGUAGUACAUGAUAGUGGACGUCUCAAAAGUAUUUUUAUGUUUGAUGCAUGGCUUAUCUUGAUACUAGGCAUCACGCCACUUUACAACGACAUUACAGGGAUCAGACCAUUCUACAGCAUAAAUAUUAAACUACACGCCAGGAAAUUAGUACCUUUGUGCUUGCUAGGUGUUUGCAUGUCUCUAAGAACCAAACAGUACUAGUAACAUCCCUAUAUAGGGCCGUGAGUGUGCUAUUAAGUUUGUUGAUAUGUCUCUUAAGGACAAAAAUGAAAAAAUUGCAUCCUUUUCAGUUCAUUUUGGGGGUCAAGGACAAGUAAAUUUAGUGUCAUUGCUAAAAUGUAGGCGCUCGCCGCCGCCAUCUCCGACUGGAUCUAGCCUGGCUCCCCCUGGUUGCUAACACGACUUGUGCUGCUCUGGUGCUAGUGUGGGUGGGUAACAAGUUCAACUACGAGUCCAGACCAAGUUCUGGUAUGUUGCAUGUUUCCCACACAUUCCCUAGGAAAAAUACUUUUUAGCAUUCAGUUUUGUUCAAUUAUUAUUUUAGUUUCAGUUCAGUUCAAAUUUCUAAUUUUCAUUUCAAUUCAAUUCUUAUUUUUUCGCUAGCUACAAUCAGAACAAAAUACUCCUGCCUUCACCAGUUAACCUUCACUACAUGACAAACAGGUGCCCUGGCCUGCUCCUGACGAAGCACCCGCGCUGGCGACACGCAGCGUGCCCCGGCCCCAUGUCAGUUCCGGCGUUGCCCUUCGCCGGCUCAGCGCAAAGGCUGUUUUACUUGACAUAAAAAUUAGUAUAUGUUCUAUUGUAAAAACAUAUCUAAAAUGUCAUGAUGCAUGCUAGCAGAAAUCUGAAAAUACACUCAGUUCAGUUCCUAUAUUUUAUUUCAGUUCAAUUUAGAACUAUUUGCAACUGUUCAGACUCGAGUGUUCCUAUAUUUUAUUUCAGUUCAAUUUAGAAGUAUUUACAACUGUUCAGACUUGAGUUUACAACGGAAAAACAUUUGGAAGUUUAGCGAGCGAAAAUUCUUGUUAGAUUCAUUUAAAAAGUGUUGUAUAGUUCAACUUUUAUAUAUAAUAAAUUCAUAAUGAAAUGUGGGAACAAUUCAAUAUGUGUGUGUUAAAAACAUAACAGUACAGAGAAAUUCGGUAUGUACUCGUCAAAAAAAAUCGCAUCAGUUCAAGAGGCACGGAAAAGAAAAUUUGGUGCCAAUAAAGUUCAAGGGAAAAAACAACUUUAAAAAGAAACGUGAUAAGCUCACAAAUUAAUUCUAUGACAUUGACGUCCAAGUUCUACAACUGAUCCGUACAAACAAAAACGGUGGUCCGUUCUACAAAGGAAAAUUGGUUUAAUUAAAAAUAUUGAUCAGUACAAGUUAAAAUGAUGGUCCGUUCGGAAUAAAAGAAAUGACAGAAAUUCAAAUUGUAAAAGUUCAAGCAAAAGGAAACGCCGUGCAAUUCAAAUGGUAAAAGUACAAGUCAUAAAAUAAGAGAAGUUCAGAACAUCGUUGUAAAAAAAUGUUUAGUUCAAAAAAAAGAAUAAAAAAA
rnacentral:lncRNA from 1 species